rnacentral:rRNA from 1 species
UACGUAUGGUGCAAGCGUUAUCCGGAUUUACUGGGUGUAAAGGGAGCGUAGGUGGUUUGGUAAGUCAGAUGUGAAAGCCCGGGGCUCAACCCCGGUACUGCAUUUGAAACUACCAAACUAGAGUGCAGGAGAGGUAAGUGGAAUUCCUAGUGUAGCGGUGAAAUGCGUAGAUAUUAGGAGGAACACCAGUGGCGAAGGCGGCUUACUGGACUGUAACUGACACUGAGGCUCGAAAGCGUGGGGAGCAAACAGG